rnacentral:tRNA from 1 species
GAGAGUAUAGCUCAGUGGUAGAGCACAUGCUUAGCAUACACAAGGUCCUGGGUUCAAUCCCCAGUAUCUCC